UUCUCAGCGCUUUACUGGUAUCAAGAAGGUCUGGAGCGUCGGUAACCUCGAAGUCUUGUUACAUGGAUGAUCUGCUGUGGCAGGGAGAUAGCGAUCCAUUAUGACCGUCUUGAAGGAAGCAAUUUGGAACGAACAGGACAAGAUACAUGGGUAGUCCACCCAGUAACAGAUUAUUAGUAGUUGUGUGGCGAUAUACAGCAAGUGGUUGAGAGAAAGCGUUGAGUCAUCCACCUGCGGCGUACGUUGGCACGGAUGUAACUCAUCGGUAUUGGCGAGGUACCGCCCAACCGGAAGAACAUAUUGCUUUUUUUUGCUGAUCCGCGGGGGUCUACAACCGGGAUUGCCAUGCAUCUUCCAGGAACAGAGAUGGUUUAUACCUUCGGCCCAGAUCCAAAAGUCCUGCAUGGUGCUUGUCAUAUCAGUCCGUGAGGUGUCGCAGUAACAGCCAUGACGAGCACCAUCUUAAUCACUAUAUACCAUCAGGCUAAGCUGGGCAGUUUCAUCAGCCACCCAUUGAAAGAACUGAGGAUGAUGGACAUGACGUCAAUUCAUCACGAACAUUACUAUCCGGGACACACACUUUAUACAAUAGUAGUCACUAAGUCCACGUAUAUGUCCACAUGAUAUUAUAUCCCAUACCACUUUCUCAUCGGAGCGGCGUUUGCCACUAUACUCAGUGAAACUUCAUUUGCUACCCAUCGAGCAUCAUCUAUUAGGCCGAUAAAACGCGGUCGUCCUGUGUACACACUCGCACUUUAAGGAAGAAAUCCGGCCGCUAAUUCAUUGCCCUAUAUGGUUUAUGUCUCUUUU
rnacentral:rRNA from 1 species